rnacentral:rRNA from 1 species
GUGGGGAAUCUUCCGCAAUGGACGAAAGUCUGACGGAGCAACGCCGCGUGAGUGAUGAAGGUCUUCGGAUUGUAAAGCUCUGUUAAUCGGGACGAAAGAGCCUAGUGUGAAUAAUGCUAGGAAGUGACGGUACCGGAAUAGAAAGCCACGGCUAACUACGUGCCAGCAGCCGCGGUAAUACGUAGGUGGCAAGCGUUGUCCGGAAUUAUUGGGCGUAAAGCGCGCGCAGGCGGAUCUGCCAGUCUGUCUUAAAAGUUCGGGGCUUAACCCCGUGAUGGGAUGGAAACUACAGAUCUAGAGUAUCGGAGAGGAAAGUGGAAUUCCUAGUGUAGCGGUGAAAUGCGUAGAUAUUAGGAAGAACACCAGUGGCGAAGGCGACUUUCUGGACGAAAACUGACGCUGAGGCGCGAAAGCCAGUGGAGCGAACGGGAUUAGAAACCCGUGUAGUCC